AAGUCGUAACAAGGUUUCCGUAGGUGAACCUGCGGAAGGAUCAUUUUAGUAUCUUAUGUUGCCUGCGCUUUAACUAGCGCGGCGACUAAAACCUUACACACAGUGCUUAGUUUUUUCUAACAUUGCUUUGCGUGGAAUAAGCCUAGCUUUUCUGCGCAGAGGUUAUCAAAACACAAGAUUUUUAUAUCUUUUAUUACAAAUUCUAGUCAAGAAGUUUUAUUAAAAACAAAUCUUCAAAACUUUCAACAACGGAUCUCUUGGUUCUC
rnacentral:misc_RNA from 1 species